UAUUCAUCUGCUGUUAUCGCUUCAGUGAACCUCGCGCUGCUCGCGCGUCGCGCGCAACACAGAUCAGCUGAUCGUCGUCGGAUUUGAAAGUAACGGCUCCUCUCAUCAAAGCUUCGGCUGUUUGUUCGGCUCUCCGUUACAAGGUUUGUAAACUCGCCAAAGAAAUAUAAAUACUGAGUCUAUUCACUAUAUAUUCAAACACAUAUAAACUAAAACACGCGUUCUUACAGAGUUUACCACUCGUUUAUUGCACAUAGGCUACCUAUGUGGUAUGAAGGUUUGAGCCGCGACGCUAACUAAUCUAACGUUAAAGAAUUAAUGAAAAUCAUUGACUUAUUGUCUUAGAUUGUUUUAGUCAUUCACUUAAAUGUAUUCUGUACAACUGUGUCUUCAAAUUGCUGAUAUAACAUUAAUAGCUAAUUCCUGCUGUCGACUGUCGUCAUUUGCGUUAUGAAUAACAAGUGGAUAGGCUUUAGUUUUGUCUGUUUUUGUUUAUUUAGCUGCUAGCCUACUACAGGUGCCCUGAUUCUUUCAAAAACCAUUUUAAAGCCCUUUACUGGCCAAUAAUUAUUAUGUUGUGAAUGGAUAUAAUCAACUUUGUUCUUUUGUUUCCUCAGAAGAACCACUGCAUUUCUAAAAUCAUCUGAACAUUUCAGAGGCUACAUUGAAUUACAGGAGGAAGUUACCGGCACCACACUACAAUGUAACUGAAUGAUGACUGGGGUUGCAUUACGCCUGAGAUCUGCUUUUGGGUUCCACAGACAGAAAGUCAAACAGGCACCUCGGUAAGCUGAAAUACAAGUCUGAACAAGAAAAAUAAUCCUCCUGUAGACCUGAAAAUCAUUGAAGUGCCUGGACCAUCCACCAGUAAAGAGGAAAAACAAACGGAAAAUUGUACUGUUCUAACUCGUUAACCUCACAUGUCC